AACCUUAUGGACCUGCGGGCGUAUACCUGCGGAGGGAUCAUUACCGAGUUUACAACUCCCAAACCCCUGUGAACAUACCUAUACGUUGCCUCGGCGGAUCAGCCCGCGCCCUGUAAAAAGGGACGGCCCGCCCGAGGACCCUAAACUCUGUUUUUAGUGGAACUUCUGAGUAAAACAAACAAAUAAAUCAAAACUUUUAACAACGGAUCU
rnacentral:misc_RNA from 1 species